rnacentral:rRNA from 1 species
UACGUAGGUGGCAAGCGUUGUCCGGAUUUCUUGGGUUUAAAGGGUGCGUAGGCGGCCCUGUAAGUCAGUGCUGAAAUAUCCCGGCUUAACCGGGAGGGUGGCAUUGAUACUGCAGGGCUUGAGUGAAGUCGAGGUAGGCGGAACUGACGGUGUAGCGGUGAAAUGCUUAGAUAUCGUCAAGAACACCGAUAGUGAAGACAGCUUACUAGACUUCAACUGACGCUGAGGCACGAAAGUGUGGGGAUCAAACAGG